GGAACUAAUGCUGAGAGAGGAAGAAACACAUAAUGAUCUGCUUUUCCCACACCAUAAAUGAUUUUACAGUCCUCAUGAGAGGGAGAGAGAAGCUGGACCAGCGAAGUAGAACUGAGGAAGAUGCUGUAGACAUACAAAGAAUUUUCUUCAGUCUAUCCCACUGGUUCCCAGUCUGUGGGUUGUAACCACCAAGAGUACGAAGAAAGUUUGCCCAGGAUGCAUAGUGCCUGGAGGUUUGUAGUGCCACCCCCGUUCUUAUGGCAAUCCAUAUUUCAGUUUACAAAUUUUUCGCUUUACAUAAUGUCCCCUAGAAUGCAUUGAUUUCGUAAAUCGAGGUGCUACUGUACUUCUAAAAAAUGUUUAGGACUGAAAAGAAAGAUCCUUGUACAGG